rnacentral:tRNA from 1 species
GGGCCCGUAGCUCAGCGGCAGAGCAGGGAGCUCAUAACUCCACGGCCGAUGGUUCGAAUCCGUCCGGGCCCACCC